rnacentral:rRNA from 1 species
AUUUCAGGAUUGCCUUAGUACGGCGAGUGAAGCGGCAAAAGCUCAAAUUUGAAAUCUGGCACCUUCGGUGUCCGAGUUGUAAUUUGAAGAAGGUAACUUUGGAGUUGGCUCUUGUCUAUGUUCCUUGGAACAGGACGUCACAGAGGGUGAGAAUCCCGUGCGAUGAGAUGCCCAAUUCUAUGUAAAGUGCUUUCGAAGAGUCGAGUUGUUUGGGAAUGCAGCUCUAAGUGGGUGGUAAAUUCCAUCUAAAGCUAAAUAUUGGCGAGAGACCGAUAGCGAACAAGUACAGUGAUGGAAAGAUGAAAAGAACUUUGAAAAGAGAGUGAAAAAGUACGUGAAAUUGUUGAAAGGGAAGGGCUUGAGAUCAGACUUGGUAUUUUGCGAUCCUUUCCUUCUUGGUUGGGUUCCUCGCAGCUUACUGGGCCAGCAUCGGUUUGGAUGGUAGGAUAAUGACUAAGGAAUGUGGCUCUACUUCGGUGGAGUGUUAUAGCCUUGGUUGAUACUGCCUGUCUAGACCGAGGACUGCGUCUUUUGACUAGGAUGUUGGCAUAAUGAUCUUAAGCCACCCGUCUGAAACAGAAACAAAAAAAAAUUGGCUUUUUUUUUGGAACUAAGGAAUUGUUUUGGCCAUUAAAAUGGAAUUCUUUUAAAACCCCCCCCCGUCUCUGAGAAAACCCGCGGGAACACACAAAAAACC